rnacentral:rRNA from 1 species
AUGCGGCACCUCCUCCUCUCCCGUCUCCUCCGCCGCGCCUCCUCCCCCUCCCAGCCUCACCACAACCUCCAACUUAUCCGUGCUUUCUCCUCCUCCUCCCCUCUCCCGGCCUCCGACACCGACCUCCGCAAGUACGCCGGCUACGCGCUCCUCGUCCUCGGCUGCGGCGCCGCCACCUACUACUCCUUCCCCUUCCCGCCCGACGCGCUCCACAAGAAGGCCGUCCCCUUCAAGUACGCGCCCCUCCCCGACGACCUCCACACCGUCUCCAACUGGAGCGGCACUCACGAGGUCCACACCCGCGUCCUCCUCCAGCCCGACUCCAUCCCGGCGCUCGAGGAUGCCCUCGCCACCGCCCACAGGGAGCGACGCAGGCUCAGGCCCCUCGGCUCCGGGCUGUCCCCCAAUGGCCUCGGGCUCUCCCGGGCCGGCAUGGUCAACCUUGCGCUCAUGGACAAGGUGCUAGACGUCGAUGUCAAGAAGAAGACCGUCACGGUGCAGGCUGGGAUACGUGUCGCCGAGCUCGUCGAUGCGCUCAGAGAGCAUGGGCUCACAUUGCAGAACUUUGCGUCCAUUCGAGAGCAGCAGGUCGGCGGCAUCAUUCAGGUUGGUGCCCAUGGUACUGGUGCGAGAUUGCCUCCAAUUGAUGAGCAGGUUAUUAGCAUGAAACUGGUUACUCCUGCCAAAGGGACGAUAGAGUUAUCAACGGAGAAAGAUCCUGAUUUGUUUUAUCUUGCCCGUUGUGGACUUGGUGGCCUAGGAGUCGUUGCAGAAGUUACUCUUCAGUGUGUAGAAAGACACCAACUUGUUGAGCAUACUUUCGUUUCUAAUGCAGAUGAAAUCAAGAAAAACCACCAGAAAUGGCUUUCUGAAAACAAACAUAUCAAGUACUUGUGGAUUCCAUAUACUGAUACAGUUGUCGUUGUCCAAUGUAAUCCUCCUUCAAGAUGGAAAACUCCAAAGUUGGCAUCAAAAUAUGGAAAGGAUGAAGCCCUACAGUAUGUUCGUGACCUUUACCGAGAGUCAUUGAAGAAAUAUAGAACUGAAGCCGACAGUAAAGACCCAGCGAUAGAUCAACUUUCAUUUACUGAAUUGAGGGAUCAAUUGAUCGCCCUUGAUCCUCUGGAUAAAGAUCAUGUGAUCAGAAUUAAUAAAGCAGAAGCUGAGUAUUGGAAGAAGUCUGAGGGAUAUCGCAUGGGCUGGAGUGAUGAAAUACUAGGUUUUGAUUGUGGUGGGCAGCAGUGGGUUUCUGAAACCUGCUUCCCUACAGGAACUCUAGCGAAGCCAAACAUGAAGGAUUUAUAUUAUAUGGAGGAGUUGCUACAGUUGAUUGAGAAGGAGGAUAUACCUGCACCUGCACCUAUUGAGCAGCGUUGGACUGCCCGCAGCAGGAGCCCUAUGAGUCCGGCAUCAAGCUCUGAAGAAGAUGACAUAUUUUCAUGGGUUGGUAUAAUAAUGUAUUUACCAACAUCGGAUCCUCGCCAAAGGAAGGAUAUUACCGAGGAGUUCUUCAACUACAGAAGUCUGACGCAAACUAGUCUCUGGGAUGAUUAUUCUGCAUAUGAACACUGGGCUAAAAUUGAGGUUCCGAAGGACAAGGAUGAACUUGCUCAACUGCAGGCUAGGUUGCGGAAACGCUUCCCCGUUGACGCGUAUAACAAGGCGCGCAUGGAGCUGGACCCUAACAAGGUUCUCUCCAGUGCCAAGUUAGAGAAGUUUUUCCCAGGAAUGCAGACUGUCCAACAUGCAAAGUAA